AUGGCGGAGAACGUAUUACUACCAGUCCCUUGGGAAUGGAAGUACUGCUUCAGUAUCCGCCAUCUAGCUCAUUUUUAAUAUCUGUGGAUCUUGUUUUGAUUACCUGUGCAGUCAGCUGAAAGAAGAACGUCAGUUGUAAACAAACCUGGGAGAACGUUUGACUUGGCUGACACAUCUUUGGUUUUGAUGGAUACCUAACUUCACUCCUGUUAUUUAUCAUCAGCAUUUCAGGUCAUAUUGAGAAAUCCAAAUGAAACAGCUUAUCGAGUGUUUGAAAUAGAGGCUUUCAAUAAGGUUUACCGACCAGCAUUGGAUAAUCCAAGAAGUUGAGGUUCUGAGGUACAUGAACAACAGGAGGGGUGGCUAGCAAGUUAUUGUGGUGUGGAUAAUCUCAAUAAGGAAGCAUUCAGUCUGCUGUUUAGACCUUGGAACCGGAAAGACCAGUUGAAGAUAAGAAAAUGGAUGUGGAGGAGAGUGAAAUGAUAUCCUGCAUCCGUCAGAAGGCUCGCAUUUCCGGUCAAGCUUUCCGUGUAAAAAGAAGAAAAGAGUUGCAUGCCUCUCAUCGGCUGGACCUAGAUAAAGUAGCUGAAGAGGUACAGAUCCCGGAUUUAGAUGAAAUUUACAAGCUGAGCAUCCAGCUUAAGAAAAAGAAGAGCCUUCAUAUCCUGCAUAAAUUGCGUAUGGGUCUGAGUGUUGGUGGCAACAGUAUAACUGUAUUUCUAAGUACUGAUGGGGCCUUGUAUGCACUUGUUAGUUGCUUUUCAGGCAACUCUGCAGAAGUGAAGAGAGAGGCAAUGAAUGUCUUCAUAAAUCUUGGUCUUGGAACUCCUGAACAGUGCUUGGAUUUGUACAAACGAUAUUCAGUUUAUCUCAUGAUUCACAUGAAUGGCAGAUGUGCAGAGUCACAGGAUGCUGUUGCUUGGUGCCUUGGUAACUUUUGUUUGAACAACGAGGAAUUGUGUUAUGAAAUGAAAUUGCUUGGAGUUGAUGGACACCUUACAGAGCUCUUGGGAUCCCGUAUUUGUCGUAUAGUGCAGUCUGCUUCGUAUGCCCUUACACAUUAUUAUGCAACAGUUCCUGAUAUGUUGAAAUAUGUCAGUGUUGAUGACAUUGUACGGAAAGCUAUUGAUGGUCUAGAGAGUUUUGAUGAUGGUGUAGAUGAAAUUGCAUGGCUCAUGUUUGUGAUGUCAUGUGAUCAGUUGGGCUGUGAAUAUUUGUUAUGUCAGGGUGUCAUACCUGCUGCUAUGGGUGCCUUACAAAAGCUGAUUAACCGACAGAGUUUAUUGGUGUCUCCAGUAACAGGACUUCUCCGUGUACUUUUGAAUUGUUUAGGAGCGUGUCCUAGGUCUGCACAUCAGGCCAUGUUGUGGAAGAACAGAAUUUACGUCAAAGACUAGAAGCUCCAAUACGCAGUGCACUAGCGGCAAAUUUCACCAUUGAAACUUCUACUAUUAGUACAAAUUUUAGUGAAGGGGUGUGACAAGAGUAAUUGGGAUAGUGAAGAGCUGAAUAUUAUUGUGAAAAGGUGUGGCUGUGCAGGCGCUUGCUGGGAUCCUACUUUGUUCAUGGUAGAUCAUUAUUAGGUGUCAAUUUCAGAAUGUUAUUUGAAUGGAAAUACGCUUUGGAUGUACACAAUUCAUCCAUUUAUAAAGUAAUGAAAUUAUAAACCGCAAAUAACAAGACCUAUAAAUAUAAUUUCAUAAAGGCAAUUAUGAUAGCCAUUGACAGGUCAUGAUGUGGAAGGCUUUCAGGAAAAAUUAUAGACCACCAGAUGUAUAAAGGAACUAAUGUAUCCAGUGUGUCACUCAAUACCUGUUUUUUAUUAGAGCCACUUCUCACCAGAGUAGCGUAGAUGGAAAUUUCUUUGGCCAGUAUUCAACUUGAGUCAUCUGAGUAAUAACACACCUUAACCACCCUGAUGGUCCUUAUAUACCAACCCAAGAGUGGAUAAAAAGGAAUAGUUUGCAGUCGAUAUGAGUUUUCAUUUCAGCCUUUCGUCUCUUGGGAUUCAUGACUGGAUUUCUUGUCGCUUCAAUCUCGAAUUUGUCGACUAUUUAUGAUCCUGUGGAUUUGUCAGUUCAAUGAAUUCAAGAUAAAAUUGGCUAUUUUUACGUCCUUGUCCAUUAAUUUUUUU